AGGGCCAAAGAAAAUCAAGCACUUUGCUUCAAGCAAAACUGAGAUCUCCAUGCAGAAAGAGACAGGUCUGGGUUUGAAUCCUGGCUCCACCACUCAACAGCCAUGCACCUGGACCAAGGAGCUCAGCGGAGUGGUCACUCUCGGGAUGUCUGCAGCCAUCAUCCACAGUCCUGGGGCAAUCACUUAGGCUUCAAGCCUUGGACCUCAGUCUUCUCCAGCCAGGCUCUCAGGCUGGAGUGCAGUGACACGAUCUCGGAUCAAGUGAUUCUCCUGCCUCAGCCUCCCAAGUAGCUGGGAUUACCGGCGUGCGCCACCACACCUGGCUAAUUUUGCGUGUUUUUAGUAGAGACAGAGAUUUCACCAUGUUGAUCAGGCUGGUCUUGAAUUCCUGACCUCAGGUGAUCCAGCCGUCUUGGCCUCCCAAAGUGCUGAGAUUACAGGCAUGAGCCACGUGCCCGGUCCUUUUCCCAUUUUUAAAUUGGAUUUAUUUGUAAG
rnacentral:lncRNA from 1 species